rnacentral:rRNA from 1 species
AUGACACCCGUCGCUAAAUUCCCAAUUCCAGUAACUGAAGAGCUACUUGAUGAACUUCAUGGGGCAGUAUGGUUCUCCAAACUCGAUCUCCGAGCGGGUUAUUACCAAAUCAGAAUAGCCGAGGGUGACGAUUACAAGACUGCUUUCCAGACCCACUCGGGACAUUUUCAAUUCGUCGUACUCUCAAUGGGCCUAGUAGGAGGUCCGUCCACUUUCAACGGUGCAAUGACUGAUACUAUGCAUCCUCUGCUUCGCAAGUGUGUUAUGCUAUUCUUUGACGACAUCCUAGUCUUUAGCCGCACCUUGGAAGAUCAUACAACCCAUCUUAAACAAGUUUUUCAGCUCCUACAGUGA